rnacentral:rRNA from 1 species
UGGGGAAUUUUGGACAAUGGGCGCAAGCCUGAUCCAGCCAUACCGCGUGCGGGAAGAAGGCCUUCGGGUUGUAAACCGCUUUGUCAGGGAAGAAAUCUUCUGAGUUAAUACCUCGGGAGGAUGACGGUACCUGAAGAAUAAGCACCGGCUAACUACGUGCCAGCAGCCGCGGUAAUACGUAGGGUGCAAGCGUUAAUCGGAAUUACUGGGCGUAAAGCGUGCGCAGGCGGUUUUGUAAGACAGAGGUGAAAUCCCCGGGCUCAACCUGGGAACUGCCUUUGUGACUGCAAGGCUUGAGUGCGGCAGAGGGGGGAUGGAAUUCCGCGUGUAGCAGUGAAAUGCGUAGAUAUGCGGAGGAACACCGAUGGCGAAGGCAAUCCCCUGGGCCUGCACUGACGCUCAUGCACGAAAGCGUGGGGAGCAAACAGGAUUAGAUACCCUGGUAGUCCACGCCCUAAAACGAUGUCAACUGGUUGUUGGGAGGGUUCCUUCUCAGUAACGUAGCUAACGCGUGAAGUUGACCGCCUGGGGAGUACGGCCGC